rnacentral:rRNA from 1 species
AGAGAUGCAUUGGGGUAAAGUGUGCGCAGGCGGUUUAGUAAGACAGAGGUGAAAUCCCCGGGCUCAACCUGGGAACUGCCUUUGUGACUGCAAGGCUGGAGUGCGGCAGAGGGGGAUGGAAUUCCGCGUGUAGCAGUGAAAUGCGUAGAUAUGCGGAGGAACACCGAUGGCGAAGGCAAUCCCCUGGGCCUGCACUGACGCUCGUGCACGAAAGCGUGGGGAGCAAACA